rnacentral:tRNA from 1 species
GACGGUUUGGCCGAGUGGUCUAAGGCGCUGGAUUUAGGCUCCAGUCCGAAAGGGCGUGGGUUCAAAUCCCACAGCCGUGAGAUGCGA